rnacentral:rRNA from 1 species
UGGGGAAUUUUGGACAAUGGGCGAAAGCCUGAUCCAGCCAUGCCGCGUGCAGGAAGACGGUCCUAUGGAUUGUAAACUGCUUUUAUACAGAAGAAACCCUCCCCACGUGUGGGAGCCUUGACGGUACUGUAAGGAAUAAGGGAUCCGGCUAACUCCGUGC